AACGCCGUCAUAACGGUGAUAACGUAGACUGUCUAGAUUUUGUCGACAACGUCGGAGGUGUAUUUUGGCGCCUCUUCUUGUGACUGGCAUAGUUUCGAUGAUAACAUCAACUGUUUGUGGUCUUGUGGUCAUGUCGUCUGCAUCGGAGGAGUAUUGGAGUCUUUUCCUGUGAUUGCCGUCGUAACAACAGGACAUUUCUCCAAGCAAAAACAAGAACCUGAAUAUGAGGGCAGAAUCAUCAUACAGCCAGCUGUCCGUUUUACAGAAAUGCAGAAAAAUCUGACAAAAUUAGAUUACUGUUACUGCAUAGCAACAAAUAUAGAUUUUUAAUCACGGUAUUAUAAG